rnacentral:sRNA from 1 species
UGAUAUUAAAUUUUAUAAUUUUGAAUAAAAAAUAAUUUUAUUAAUAUUUUAGUUUAUGUUAAUAAAUUUAAUUUUUAUUCAAAAUCAUAAAAAUUAAUAUCAUAUUAUCAAAAAAAUAAUAGUUAAUUGAGAUGGUAAGGGUAAAAUUGGAAUUUUAUUUUUGUUGUGAGAUCGUGAAUAUAAAAAUAACAGCAAUUAAUUGUUUGUGUAUUAAAUUGUACGAUUUUAUUAUUUCGUGUAUUUACCUUCCAACCAAAAACAAUUGGGUAUUAAACGUCUAAAUAAAAAUUAAUUGAGGUUUUUUGGGGGUUUUUUCCCUUUAUAAAAAUAACAUAGUUCUUUCAUUCUCUUUUUAUAGAAUAACACUGUUCUUUCUUACAACUUUUGAUUUACAUUUUUCUGUCUUUUUUUUCUGUCAAACCAUAGAUUUCCAUUCAUUAACUUUAAAGAAGGGAAGUUCAUACAAAUUAAAGCUAAGAGAAUACAAGAAAAUAAAAAUAAAAAUUUCAUGAGUUUUCUAAAGAACUGUGUACUUUUAAAAGAGUUUACAAGAUUUAAAAAAUCUGUUGAGAUCUUGGCAAAUUCAACCUUGAAGACGGACUUAUCGAAAUCCUCGACUUAUCGAAAUCCUCGACCAACGUGUAGUCAUAAACGGUUCUCGCAAACAAAGCAAAUGAACCUUUGAAAAGAUGCUCUACAGGGGAGGCGGACGGGUCAAACAGUUGGAAUAAGAUAUGGUAACCAUCUAUCGGAGAAAGGGUCAUAAUAUCGCUCCUUCCACACUAUCAGAGGUUUGCAAAUUAUUCAAACAAUUGAUGUUCACAUGAAUGAACCCGAUAAUUAGCGAAUGGAGAGAUAGAGUUGAAAAAAGCUCCGCUAACCCCUACUCUGUAGUGACGGGGUCAUAAUGCCAGUCUUUUUCACUCUAUUGGUUGUGAUAGAGAAUUUCAGAUAGGGUUCAUACUAAACUUAACUGUUGAUCUCGACAAAGGUAACUAUUAGACAAACCUAAAGAAACGGAUACUCUAUUAGCGUGAAGUUCACGAUCAGCAAAAUCAGAGCUAAAGGGUGCUAAAGGAAAAUACCUUGACAGAAAAUUAUCGAUACUUAACACGGGCAGCAAAACUCCAAGACACUUUCCAAGUGAGCCUUAACCCAAAGCGAUUCGAGAUCAAACUUUCACAAUUACUUUUUUCUCUUAACCAUUAUUUUUUAAACACCAAGAACAUGUCAUCAAUCAGACUCAAAAAUGCUAAACAAGAUUAGGAUAACUAUGGUGGAAUUGUGGAAGAAACAAACUGAACAUAAAAUAGUAAUGGUGGUUGAUAUAAACAAUAGGCCCGAUGAAAACUACAAUAGA